rnacentral:rRNA from 1 species
GAUGAACGCUGGCGGCGUGCCUAAUACAUGCAAGUCGAGCGAAGCGGCGGAUGGGUGAGUACCGCGUGGGUGACCUGCCCUUAAGUCUGGGAUACUAUCUGGAAACAGAUGCCAAUACCGGAUCAUAAAGGAUGGACUUGGGAUGCAUUAGCUAGUUGCUAAGGUAACGGCUUACCAAGGCGAUGAUGCAUAGCCGGGUUGAGAGACUGAUCGGCCACAUUGGGACUGAGACACGGCCCAAACUCCUACGGGAGGCAGCAGUAGGGAAUCUUCCACAAUGGACGAAAGUCUGAUGGAGCAACGCCGCGUGAGUGAAGAAGGUUUUCGGAUCGUAAAGCUCUUUUGUUGGUGAAGCGGUAAUCAACCAGAAAGUCACGGCUAACUACGUGCCAGCAGCCGCGGUAAUAC